rnacentral:rRNA from 1 species
CCUACGGGAGGCUGCAGUGGGGAAUAUUGGACAAUGGGGGGAACCCUGAUCCAGCCAUGCCGCGUGUGUGAAGAAGGCCCUCGGGUUGUAAAGCACUUUCAGUGAGGAAGAACGCCUGGUGGUUAAUACCCAUCAGGAAAGACAUCACUCACAGAAGAAGCACCGGCUAACUCCGUGCCAGCAGCCGCGGUAAUACGGAGGGUGCGAGCGUUAAUCGGAAUUACUGGGCGUAAAGCGCGCGUAGGUGGCUUGAUAAGCCGGUUGUGAAAGCCCCGGGCUCAACCUGGGAACGGCAUCCGGAACUGUCAAGCUAGAGUGCAGGAGAGGAAGGUAGAAUUCCCGGUGUAGCGGUGAAAUGCGUAGAGAUCUGGAGGAAUACCAGUGGCGAAGGCGGCCUUCUGGACUGACACUGACACUGAGGUGCGAAAGCGUGGGUAGCAAACAGGAUUAGAUACCCCUGUAGUC